rnacentral:rRNA from 1 species
AUGUGUGUAUGUGGCUCUUUAACCAUCAUGUUCUCUGGACUUGGGUUAUGCUUAGGAUGUACUUUUAGGCCUUCAAUGCCUCCUGGCUGUGGACCGGGUCGCGGUCGUGCCGCUGCUGAUGGCCCUGCCCGUGGAAGCGGGCGCUGGCAUGCCGUUGCUGAUGGCCCUGCCCGUGGAAGCGGGCGAGGGCGUGCCGGUGCUGAUGGCCCUUCCCGUGGAAGCGGGCGAGGGCGUGCCGCUGCUGAUGGCCCUGCCCGUGGAAGGGGGCAUGGGCGUGCCGCUGCUGAUGGUCCUACCCGUGGAAGGGGGCGUGGGCGUGCCGCUGCUGCUGAUGGUCCUUCCCGUGGAAGGGGGAGAGGGCGUGCUGCUGUUGGUGGCCCUGCCCAUGGAAGGGGGCGUGGGCGUAGUAGGGUUGGUGGCACACUUCCUUCUCCUCCUAGAAUUCAUCUUGCUCCUCCUGUCAUUCGGCCGCGUUAUGUGCCCCGUGCCCCACCUGGGCUCGAGAAUCGCAAACGUAAACGAGAUGGUUGGUUACCCUAUGUGAGUGAGGUUGAGGCAACGUUGAACCGCAGGAAGCGCAAGGCAAUUAGAAAGCUGCGCCAUUCUGGAUUUGAAGGUCCAUUCAUUUUCCAAUUGCUUAGCUCAGUCUUAGACCCACCUGUACUUAUUAGUUUUGUCUGA